GAUGCCUCGUGUUUUAACCACUUACUAUUGUGGACCAAGUGAUGCUCCUCUUGCACCAACUCCUUUUGAGGCCUUUCUAAAAGUGCCAAAGUUCCUACGCCCUCACACUCAAAUCUAUUGUACAGGUGAAUGGGUAUUUGGUAAUCGGGAGGAUCUUGUUAAGGAUUUUAUUUCUGAAUUGCAGCUAGAAAAUGGAGAGGUAAUGCUU